rnacentral:rRNA from 1 species
UACGGGGGGGGCAAGCGUUGUUCGGAAUUAUUGGGCGUAAAGGGCUCGUAGGCGGUCUGUUGCGUCGGGAGUGAAAGCCCGGGGCUUAACCCCGGGUCUGCAUUCGAUACGGGCUAGCUAGAGUGUGGUAGGGGAGAUCGGAAUUCCUGGUGUAGCGGUGAAAUGCGCAGAUAUCAGGAGGAACACCGGUGGCGAAGGCGGAUCUCUGGGCCAUUACUGACGCUGAGGAGCGAAAGCGUGGGGAGCGAACAGG